CCUACGGGUGGCAGCAGUGAGGAAUAUUGGUCAAUGGGCGCUAGCCUGAACCAGCCAAGUAGCGUGAAGGAUGACUGCCCUAUGGGUUGUAAACUUCUUUUAUAUGGGAAUAAAGUGCAGUAUGUAUACUGCUUUGCAUGUACCUUAUGAAUAAGGAUCGGCUAACUCCGUGCCAGCAGCCGCGGUAAUACGGAGGAUCCGAGCGUUAUCCGGAUUUAUUGGGUUUAAAGGGAGCGUAGGCGGGUUGUUAAGUCAGCGGUAAAAUCGCGGGGCUCAACCCCGCUCCGCCGUUGAAACUGUGUCCCUUGAGUGCGCGAAGGGUAGGCGGAAGGCGUGGUGUAGCGGUGAAAUGCAUAGAUAUCACGCAGAACUCCGAUCGCGAAGGCAGCCUACCGGCGCGCAACUGACGCUCAUGCACGAAAGCGUGGGUAUCGAACAGGAUUAGAUACCCUUGUAGUC
rnacentral:rRNA from 1 species